UACGUAGGGGGCGAGCGUUGUCCGGAAUUAUUGGGCGUAAAGAGCGUGUAGGCGGUUCGGUAAGUCUGUCGUGAAAUCCUGGGGCUCAACCUCGGGCGUGCGAUGGAUACUGCCGGGCUAGAGGGUGGUAGAGGCGAGUGGAAUUCCUGGUGUAGCGGUGAGAUGCGCAGAGAUCAGGAGGAACACCAAUGGCGAAAGCAGGUACCUGGACCAUUACUGACGCUCAGAUGCGAAAGCUAGGGGAGCAAACAGG
rnacentral:rRNA from 1 species